AUAAAACUACACCUGGAAAUGCCCACAACUCCUACGAAAGCCUUGUCAAAUAUGUGUUUCUAGGUUCACGGUACAGAGGAAGGGUCAGACUACCACCAGGGUCAUAAAACUACCCCUGGAAAUGCCCACAACUCCUACGAAAGCCUUGUCAAAUAGGUGUUUCUAGGUUCACGGUACAGAGGAAGGGUCACACUACCACCAGGGUCAUAAAACUACCCCUGGAAAUGCCCACAACUCCUACGAAAGCCUUAUCAAAUAGGUGUUUCUAGGUUCACGGUACAGAGGAAGGC